AAAUGUCGUUGUUAGCAGUUGUAGCUUCUGGUUACUCCUACCACGUCACAACAUCUGUGUCUGCUUCUGUUUUCAGGUUUGCCUCACCACCCAGCGGCCCAUCCUUUGGGUCCCUAGCCAAUCAGAGCGCUCCGUCGUUCGGGGGCCUGGCCCAGCAGAGCCCUGGGUUUGGGACUCAGCCCAGCAGCUUCUCCGGCUUUGGACAGCAGCCACAGCAGGCGGGAGGAUUCCCCGGACACCCAAACACCUUUGGGUCUGCUAACCAAUCAAGUGCUCAAACAUUUGCCAGUUGGAGAAGCUAGUUUUAUUAAAGCUCCACGUCACUGCUACAGUACUUUCUGCAAUCAAGUUCAGUGUGCCACAUAAUGGGCACAGAUCCACAUGAGAUAUUGAAGGAGGAAGGGGGUUCCACAUCCACGUCAACAUACAGGACCACGUGACCGCACAUCAACAGCUGGGACAACUCAACAACAUCAAUGUGGAAAAUGGCUGUGAUUGAAAUGAUUCAAAUAAUGCUCUUAAUGCUCUCAAUAAUCUGCUUUUUUUUAGACCUGUCUUCUCCCUUUUUUAAAGCUGUUUUUAAAUUGUUUAAACUGCAAAGAGAUAGAAAUUAAAGCACCAAUGACCA